AACGAACGCUGGCGGCAGGCUUAACACAUGCAAGUCGAGCGCCCCGCAAGGGGAGCGGCAGACGGGUGAGUAACGCGUGGGAAUCUACCCAUCUCUACGGAAUAACGCAUGGAAACGUGUGCUAAUACCGUAUACGUCCUUCGGGAGAAAGAUUUAUCGGAGAUGGAUGAGCCCGCGUGGUAUUAGCUAGUGGGUGGGGUAAAGGCCUACAAAGGGGAAGAUCCAUAGCUGGUCUGAGAGGAUGAUCAGCCACACUGGGACUGAGACACGGCCCAGACUCCUACGGGAGGCAGCAGUGGGGAAUAUUGGACAAUGGGCGCAAGCCUGAUCCAGCCAUGCCGCGUGAGUGAUGAAGGCCCUAGGGUGGUAAAGCUCUUUCACCGGUGAAGAUAAUGACGGUAACCGGAGAAGAAGCCCCGGCUAACUUCGUGCCAGCCGCCGCCGUAAUAC
rnacentral:rRNA from 1 species